AGCGAACGCUGGCGGCAGGCUUAACACAUGCAAGUCGAACGCCCCGCAAGGGGAGUGGCAGACGGGUGAGUAACACGUGGGAACGUACCCUUUGGUUCGGAAUAACUUGGGGAAACUCAAGCUAAUACCGGAUAAGCCCUUAUGGGGAAAGGUUUACUGCCGAAGGAUCGGCCCGCGUCUGAUUAGCUAGUUGGUGAGGUAAUGGCUCACCAAGGCGACGAUCGGUAGCUGGUCUGAGAGGAUGAUCAGCCACACUGGGACUGAGACACGGCCCAGACUCCUACGGGAGGCAGCAGUGGGGAAUAUUGGACAAUGGGGGCAACCCUGAUCCAGCCACGCCGCGUGAGUGAUGAAGGCCUUAGGGUUGUAAAGCUCUUUUACCCGGGACGAUAAUGACUGUACCGGGAGAAUAAGCCCCGGCUAACUUCGUGCCAGCCGCCGCAGUAA
rnacentral:rRNA from 1 species